rnacentral:sRNA from 1 species
CCCUAGCCCUGAUAGAAGCGAAAAUCCUUUCCUGACGACCUUUAGUCAUGAAAGAUUGCAGCGGAUAGCAGGAAAUAGC